rnacentral:rRNA from 1 species
GCCUUACUGAUCCUAACCAAACUCCGAAUACCGAGAAGUACUAUCCGGCAGACACACAGUGGGUGCUAACGUCCAUUGUGGAGAGGGAAACAACCCUGACCGCCAGUUAAGGUCCCUAAGUUAUGGCUAAGUGGGAAAGGAUGUAGAACUCCCAAAACAACCAGGAUGUUGGCUUAGAAGCAGCCAUCAUUUAAAGAAAGCGUAACAGCUCACUGGUCUAAAUAAGGGGUUCCGCGCCGAAAAUGUACCGGGGCUCAAGCCAUACACCGAAACUGCGGGUGCAUCUUAUGAUGCGCGGUAGCGGAGCGUUCUGUAAGUCUGCGAAGGGGGACCCGUGAGGGCUCCUGGAGAUAUCAGAAGUGCGAAUGCUGACAUGAGUAACGAUAAAGCGGGUGAGAGACCCGCUCGCCGAAAGUCCAAGG